AGCUCCAAUAGCGUAUAUUAAAAUUGUUGCGGUUAAAACGCUCGUAGUUGAAUAUUUGUUGAGGAUCACUGGUCCAUCCUAGUGAUGUGCACCCGGUACGUCUUCAACACUUUUCUGGGGAAUGUGUUUGCACUUCAUUGUGUGGCAUACGAACCAGUACUUUUACUUUGAGGAAAUGAGAGUGUUUCAAGCAGGCGUUUGUCGUGAAUACGUUAGCAUGGAAUAAUAACAUAGGACCUUGUUCCGAAGUUGUUGGUUUUUGGUAACGAGGUAAUCAAAAUAGGGAUAGUUGGGGGCAUUCGUAUUUAACUGUCAGAGGUGAAAUUCUUGGAUUUUUUAAAGACGGACUACUGCGAAAGCAUUUGCCAAGGA
rnacentral:rRNA from 1 species